UACGUAGGGCGCAAGCGUUAUCCGGAAUUAUUGGGCGUAAAGAGCUCGUAGGCGGUUUGUCGCGUCUGCCGUGAAAGUCCGGGGCUCAACUCCGGAUCUGCGGUGGUACGGGCAGACUAGAGUGAUGUAGGGGAGACUGGAAUUCCUGGUGUAGCGGUGAAAUGCGCAGAUAUCAGGAGGAACACCGAUGGCGAAGGCAGGUCUCUGGGCCAUUACUGACGCUAAGGAGCGAAAGCGUGGGGAGCGAACAGG
rnacentral:rRNA from 1 species